rnacentral:rRNA from 1 species
ACCAGACUCCUACGGGAGGCAGCAGUGGGGGAUAUUGCACAAUGGGGGGAACCCUGAUGCAGCGACGCCGCGUGGGUGAAGAAGCGCCUCGGCGCGUAAAGCCCUGUCAGCAGGGAAGAAAAUGACGGUACCUGAAGAAGAAGCCCCGGCUAACUACGUGCCAGCAGCCGCGGUAAUACGUAGGGGGCAAGCGUUAUCCGGAUUUACUGGGUGUAAAGGGGGCGCAGACGGCGAUGCAAGCCAGGAGUGAAAGCCCGGGGCCCAACCCCGGGACUGCUCUUGGAACUGCGUGGCUGGAGUGCAGGAGGGGCAGGCGGAAUUCCUGGUGUAGCGGUGAAAUGCGUAGAUAUCAGGAGGAACACCGGUGGCGAAGGCGGCCUGCUGGACUGCAACUGACGUUGAGGCCCGAAAGCGUGGGGAGCAAACAGGAUUAGAUACCCGGGUAU